CCUCAAAAUCCCAACAAACCCACAGUCCCAUGCUGGCAAGUAAAGCCCUACCUGUUUCCAGACACAGUCCAAGCUGUUGUCAUUCACUCCUGUCUCAGAAGACCCCCCUGGGGGACACGUUCUGCCUGGGAAAAGUCUGCACAUCAGCCUGAGCAAUAUUUGCUGAACAGCAAAGCCCACGAGGCAAAAAGGCACGUGUCCAUCAUCUGCAGAGACUGAAGAGAGAAGAACCAGCCAGAGCCACACUUGUCACGUCCCUUGCUGGGAGGGGAGGUUAGCUUCUGC